GUGCGUGCGUGCGUGUGUGUCAUUCCAGCUUGGCAUCAUCAUCACAUGCCUGGAACUGCCUUCAUGGCUUGUGUGUGGACAACAGAGGUGCUGACAGGACUGCUUGGCACAGAGGUGCUCAAGAAGAAUUUUUUAGGGGUGUGGGGGCAGUCAUCCUUACAUACUGUUUGGAUCAAAUUUGACCCCUUUUGACAUAUAAUGACUUUCUAUCAUCACCCAAAAUGCAAAAAAAUUAACAUAUGUGGUGCUCCUAUAUGGCAGACACGCACCUGUUGGUGUUUAACCUGUAACAUAUGUGCGUGCAUGGAAGAUGAACAGAAUGGAACUUUGGAAAAUCAUUUACUUUUUAUGUUCUUGUUUUUAUUUAUUUUUACUGUACAUUUGUUUUCCUGUUUUUGUGUGUGUGUGUGUGUGUACAUGAAUGAGUGUGUGUCAGGGUUAUCGUAAGGUCAGGGAUGAAGCUCCAGGGAAGAGUGCCAAGUGCCAUUGUAACAAACACACACACACACACACACACACACACACAAGAGAGAGAGUCUGGCUGGAGCAGCCAGAACAUCAGCAGUGCAAUACACCCGUCGUUUUGGAGGAAGAUCACAACAUCAAGAGAUAAAAAAUCUAAAACCUUCUCAGUUCCUCUGUGUCAAGCCUUGCUGCAUCCCGGUGUUCAUUUUGUGCCCCCACACACCACCAGAGGAAACAAACAUCAGCUGCCAGCGUCCACAAUGAAUACAGACAACACGUAUGCUGCCUGCCACAUGCAGCCAGGUCUCAUUGGGACACACGUGCGGCCAUCGGUAUUUUACAGCUUUGCAGUUUUGUUGCGGUGGUGCUGCUGGAUGACUUGUCUGCCAUGAGCUCAAAGACAAAGAAAGGACGUCAUUAGAUGGCUGUGGAGCAUCAGCUUCGCCUCGCAAAGCGAAACGCCCGCCUGCCACGCGUGCCACGCCACACUUCAGGUGUGCUGGAUAAUGGAGGAUGACAUUUGUGUCCCAUCAUGCCUCGGGGGCAACAUGUGAUACAUGGCUUCCUUCUAUGAAGGUUAAAAUCGGCUCACCUGCCUUUGGCGUUUCAUUACCCACUUGUUAAAUACUCUUUUGGUAAUAAAAUGAUUAAAGGUUUUAUUGCUUCACUCAAAUGAGGCCUUUUUUCAAAUGGGAGUGAUGACUUUGGAUAUGCAUUUACUGUAUGUCAGUGGCUGUUGUGUGUGUAUGUCUGAGAGUGUGUGUGGACAAGUGCA